CAGUAGCCGCGGGAAUACGUAGGUCCCGAGCGUUGUCCGGAUUUAUUGGGCGUAAAGCGAGCGCAGGCGGUUAGAUAAGUCUGAAGUUAAAGGCUGUGGCUUAACCAUAGUACACUUUGGAAACUGUUUAACUUGAGUGCAAGAGGGGAGAGUGGAAUUCCAUGUGUAGCGGUGAAAUGCGUAGAUAUAUGGAGGAACACCGGUGGCGAAAGCGGCUCUCUGGCUUGUAACUGACGCUGAGGCUCGAAAGCGUGGGGCGCAAACAGGAUUAGAUACCCCUGUAGUCCCUGUCUCUUAUACC
rnacentral:rRNA from 1 species